CCCCUCCAAGAGCUUGCAGAGGGACCCCUCCUGCCCUUGGAAGCCAGUACUUCCUCUGUGCUGGAAGAUGCUCCAGGGGCCUCCCCGACCAAAGCAGCAGGUGUCCUCACUGGGGGCUGCCCCACCUUGUCUCUUGGCUGCCAGCAGUGACUAGGGAGAAAGUCCAGGGUAACCUGGAUGGGGACCUGCUGGGCCUGGUCAGGAAGAAGAGAGGUUGCAUGUCCAGGAGCUGCACGAGGCAGCCAGGACGUGCCUGCAGGAGCCAGGGAGCAGCCCCAGUAUUAGAUUUCCAGGGUGCUUUAUCCAGGGGGACAGCAGAACUAUUGAGGUGGAGGCACUUGCUUGGCACAUAGGAUUAAUUACCUGGCAAAGUCUGCAGGUCGUGGGUCAAAGAUGAUUCUGGGAUGGCUCCCAGAAGCCUGGAGAAGGCGAUGGGUUGUGUUGAGCCAAGCUGCCCUGGCAGAUGGCAGAGGAAGGAAGAAAGAGGCCGAGGGCAGGGACUCCAGUGAAACAUCGUGGUUCCCUACUCCAUUCCUGGACUUGAGCUAAUUUCCUGUCUGGAACCAUUGAUUGCGGAGGUGGCCAGGUCACCAGAAGGAAGGACCAGGCAAUACCUUGACAAGGAUGUUCUGUAGAAUCCUGCUGUCACUCAGGUGGCUGCACGCUGGGAGAAUCCAGAGAUUUUGAGGACAAAUGGACACGGGAUGUGAGUGGACCCUGAUACUGGAGGCCCAGAGUGCCAUUGUGGCCUCCCUCUUAGAGAAGGGGCUGACGGGGCCAGGUAAUAAAAGGAAUCCUGCCAAAGUGUGGGUCACAGUGAGACCCCUGGGCCAGAAGACCAUCCAGUGGCCGCUUCCCUGCCCCCUCAGUACGUAAUUAUAAUUAAUGUACUUGGUGGCUGGAGUAGCCAUAUAUUGGAUCCCAGGCCUGUGUGGUAACAGACAUCACAGUGCGGAAGCCCACAGGAAAGUCUUUGACACCAUCCCCUUUCCAUGGCCAAGAGAGUAAAUCACAAACCACGUUGCAUCCUGGGAGGAUGGCACCACCAUUAAAGGCCUCAUGGAGGUGAGGGUGGCGGACUGUCAUCUCUGUUUAAUUCUCUGGCCUGGUCAUUGCAAAGACUGAUGGAUCCUAGAAAGUGACUGUAGACCACUUAGCCUCAACCCGGUGGUAGCUCCAAUUGCAUCUGCUGUAUCAGACGUAUCAUUGUAGCAGAUUAAUGAGGCCAGUGAUUGGCCAUUGCAGUCUUUGCUAUUCCAAUUAGAAAAGAGGAGCAGAAAGAGUUUGCAUUUAUACGGGAGGAACAGCAAUUCUCAUUCCCGGUUUAGUGGCAGGGCCAUUCUAACUCUGUCCUCUGUCCUAAUAUUGCCUGAAAAGAUUUGGGCACCUGAGCAGUCCACCGGACACCACGCUGAUCCAUUACAGUGACGACAUUAUGGGCAGGAGGAGGACGAGGAGGGUCAUGUGCUAAAUGAGACACGUUUGCAUUUAUGGGUGGGAGGUGAACUCUGAGGAUUCAGGGACCUAACUUCAUGGAAGUUUUUAGGGCACCAGUGAUCAGGUUCAUACCAGGACAUCCUCUAAAGUAAAAGAGAAAUUGCUACAUCUUGCAUCCACUACUUCAAAGGAGGAAGCACAGGGCCUGGCAUGCCUUUUUGGGUUCUGAAGGCAACAUAUUUAAAGGAGGGAGCACUGCUCUGACCCAUAGCUCAGCUGACGUGGAAGGUGCCAGCUUCGAGGGGGCCAGGAGCAGAAAAUGACUGAGCAGCCCUGCCACCUGGGCCACGAGACCCGGCAGCCCCCAUGGUGUUGGGGGUGUCAGGGUGGGAGCAGGCAAGUGUGGGGCACGGCAAGCUGUAGUGGGAGGGCCAGAGCCCCUGGGUGUGGGUGGAGGCCGUGCCACCUGUAGAGGAAGCUGCUCACCUUUAGAGAAAUGCUUCCUGUGGCCCAAGCGGGUGGAGCAGCCCAGCCGGGCAUCUCUGUGCACACCAGGACCUGGCUUCAGGAUCAGGGGAGGCUGGGCACUUGCUUUGGGGCCUUGCCGGGACCUGACAAUUUCCACCCUAUUCUUCCCAUGAAGGGGCCCCGAUGAUGGCUGCCAUGUUGGGUUUCUGUUUGUCUCUGCAGGUGGCAAUGACAGUAGUAGUCCCCUGGCAGCCGCACACGCCUCUCCAAGAACCCCAGCGUGCCACCUGCCAGAGCCUGCAGCUCCCAUAUCCCUCUUAUGCCUCCAGCACAGCCCUGCCACCACUUGCAGAGGAAGCUGAGGCCAGAGCGCUGAAAUAACCUGCCCAAGACUGCGCAGCUUGCUGGCGGAGGAGCAGAGCCUGCGGCACGGCCUCUGUGUUACACUGCGUGCCCCAAGGAUGAGGACUGGCCUGGUGUCCUCUGCAGGGCAAUGCCUGGCACAGAGCAGGCCCUGACUGGGGCUGCUGAGUCACUAAGUCCCUGCAUGGGGCCCCAACUGAUGCAGGCUCUGUGAGGUCCCAGGAUUCUGUGGAGAGUCACAGGGGACCUAGGACCCUCAGAACUGUCCUCUGAAUUCAAGCAGUAGUGACUCCUGUGCUUGGCAGGGAGGAUGAUCUGUGGGGUCUGUGGGCUUUGAACUCACACUACUGCAGCAAAGCCCAGAGGCCUCACUUUUUCAUGAACCAGCACAGGCUCUCCUGAGAGCCCUGGAGGGAAGGCUGUGGCCUUACUGCCUCCUGGUGUGAGGAGGCUUCCCUCUCGUCUGUCCCACGAGGGCAGGGCUGACGUUCUAGCCUUGCCAGUGGGCUCUUGUCUGCUUCCCCUCAUCACGCCCUUCUCCGCAUGCUCAUUUUCAGACUGAAGUUGGGUGAUUGCUCCUUUUGUAAGAGUGCUGGGGUGCAGCAGGCUGUGGAGGGGCACUGAGGCAGCCCGGCCUCAACCAGGGUUCCCAGGACCUGAGGCCCCAGUCCGGACCCCAGCAGGCUGCAGGCUGCCCUGUGGACACCACACCUCAACAACACAAAGGGCCCUGCUGAGGUUGGCAGCCAGUGCGCAGGGCACCUCCAGGCCUGGCUCCUAAUGAGGAAGCCAAUGCCAAGGUCACAUGACCGUGAGUUUUUGGGUCCGGUUUAUGGAGAGAUGGUGGGAGAGGAGCAGCAUGGGUGGGUGGUUGUUCACGCUUAGGGGAAUAACUGGGAGCUACAGUAACACACAUGCAUGCCAUUAGAGAAGGGACUUUCUCUAUCUGGGCUGUGGGUGUUCGCAGGCCUGGCCUGGAGGAGGAGGAAGCUGUGCUGUUCCUUUUCUGCCCACGUGUUCUCAGGCCGAGGCGGCCUUAAGUGGCUCCGUGUGGAAAAGCUCUCCAUGGCUUUCUCACACUCUGGACACCAUGUGGACCACUCAGGGCAGCGGGGGCGUUACUCUCGGGCUUGCAGCCUUUCACGGACAUUUGAGAAGAUGCCUCUGUAGUCAGACUUUCCUCUGCUUACUCAUGGGGUUGACAGACAGAACUAAUGUUCUCCCCGGCCGCAGCUGAUCUCGACUCAGAAAAAAAUGAAAAAUGGCAAAACCUGCCUCUAAUGGGCAAUUGCACAUGAGUCAGUUUGUGUCACGGGUGUGUGUUCAGAGCUGGCGGUAGAUCCUCCGGCUUUUAUUUUUUAAGCCGGAGUCACUGCAUUAUUCUCAAUAAUCUCACCAGGCUUUUGGGCUGCCAAGCACUUGUAUUUUUGUCUUUUAGAUUCACAAUAACACAGGAGUGCUGGAGAAUGCGGCAUGGACCACAGUGUACAGUUUCAGUGGAAACCAGGACCAGAGGCAGUGUGCUCGAGGCUCAGAUGGGGUGGGGACACCAGGUGGUAGGAAGGUUGGGAGACAAAGGCUGUGGAUGAGAACCUCAUCGAUCCUGCACCCAGGAGGAGCCAGGGGAGGCUGCCCCGUCCCACAGAGAGGAGACGGAGGCUCCCAGAGGAGGACAGCUGUGCGGUGCUAACUGAAGGGGCCACGUGAAUGUCAUGCAACUCAGUUCCCUGCUGGCACAGGAAGGCCACACUGACAUACUUUAGUGGCUGGCACAACCUGUUUGUGACAUGAGAAUGUCAGUGUUGUAUGGCUGGGCCUGUCAUUUUGUUUGGGAUGAUGACAAAGUUUGAAGGCCACCAUUCAGCCCAGGCCAGCCUGUCUGAGGAGAGCAGUGCCGCUGACUGGUCCAUGAUGACAGUGGUCGGGAUGGUGGGGCAAAAGCAGCCACGUGACCAGUCACAGGGGCAGGGUCCUGGAGUCACACCAUGCCCUGGCUGUGUCACUGCUCCUCCUCUGAGACAGGGGAAGGGCCCUGGAGUCACACUGUGCCCUGGCUGUGUCACUGCUCCUCCUCGGUCACAGGGGACUCUUCACCGCACCUGGGUCAGGCGAGCUGCCCAUGAGGAACUUCCCAAGGUCCCAGGGUUGGGACAGUGGCAGCCGCAGACAGGUUUCCCUGGCUCACUGUGGAGGCUGGCAUGAUGGUGUGAAAACCACAUGCAGCCAAACACGGAGGCACCUAAAUAAGUGUCCUCGAUGGACAGAAGAGGAGAGAAAUCCU